GGGGGUGGGCAGAAGCCAGGGAGCCUCGACGGGGAAGAAAACCGUGAGAAAACGUGGGCUCGUUGCGCAGUGCUCCGCGCGCGUGUUUGGAACACACAGGGGUACCUUAGAAACAAAUGUAACCCUAGAUUGAGCUGGAAAUGGGCCACGCGGCUAAAAUACUGGAUGCUUGGAAAACAGGUGGGGGGGUGGGGGGGAGACAGAGAAGCCCGAGAAUCAUAGAGAAUGAUUGGUGGGGGGAAAUGACACAGGCUGUUAGAAAGCUAUGUAUUUCUAAUCUAGCAUUUGGCAUGUAAAUAGACGUGUGUGGUUUGGGCGGCCAAAUGGAGAAUGCUUCUUUGUUACCAAAAGAUUAAUAUCUUGCCAGAAAUGGUGUGAUUCCUGUAAGAUCCAGGAAAUCCUGCACAGAAAAGUUGCUUUGCAGUUUGGGACUAGAGCUACCAAUCCCAGAACCUGUCACCAGGCCUCUCACUUUGCACCUCUCGCCUCCAAGGGAGGGAAGCAUCCUCAACAGUCUCCAGGGUCCCUGACAAUCCCCUGCCGCUGAAUCACCACUGCUACAAUGGCCCAAUGGGUACACAUCCGGGCCACAUCCUUGGUAUUUCACUAGAUCCUUACACCCAUUCUGCUUCCCUGCUUGUAGUGACCUCAUUAACCCAUCCUUUUUAUUUUUUAAAGACAGUCCCAUUUUCAUCUAUGAGAUCAGUUGAACGUCCCUUUUCUGCCACUUACGAGUAGUCACGGGUUCUUGUUCAUGUCAGUAACCCUCGGUUAGCAUCGGUUUCCAAAUCUGCAAAAUUGGCAACAAGUAAUACUUCUUCUGCCUACCUCACGAGGCCACUGAGAUGAUCAAAGCCUUGUGGGAAAGGCUUUGAAUAUUUAAAGUGAGCCGACAGCAUCACCCUAGAACAAGGUGCCUAUGUAUCAGGACAUUGUCUGGUCUUCACACAUCUUCUUUAGAUCGGAACAUUGACCUUCACAGCACGUUGUCAAACUGCUGUCCUGGCCGUCUGCUGGAAGACAAGCUGACUGUCAGCCAGGAGAGCAGUGCACAAGAAGAGCAUCAUUAUCUUAAAACCUCAAGAGGGGACAUUUUUAGCCAGCAAACAGGAAGCAGGAAGAACUUUCCCUCAUCCUGCGCCUCUGGUACAUGCUGAACUCUGCCUCCCCCGACAGAUGCCUCAGACACCAGAGCAGCAGAAGAAGGAGCGGGGAGUUGAAGGCUAUAUUCCUAAGAUGACUUCAGUCCCCCUUAAAGUACCUGCCUGAGGAAAAUGCAAGACUGCCGAAAGAAUUUGCCAUUUGUUCCAGCCAACACCUGAAGACAGGGGCCCGUCUCCCCGUCACUGUGGGAGAGGAGGGACCUAAUGGCAUAAACACCAGUUGGCAAACCCAGAUGGGUUUCACAUGGACCAACUUCCCUUCCUUGUGUUUUGAAAUGUUUCACUCCUCUGACUUUACUGAGCUCAUCUCCCUUCACCCCUCCCUUCCCAUUCUCCCGUUAAAAUGUCCAGUCACGGGGCGCCUGGGUGGCUUGGUCGGUUAAGCGUCCGACUUUGGCUCAGGUCA